rnacentral:rRNA from 1 species
ACUGCUCAGUAACACGUGGACAACCUACCCUUAGGCCUGGGAUAAACCUGGGAAACUGGGUAUAAUACCGGAUAGGUCUCGAACGCUGGAAUGCAUCGAGGCCCAAAGCUCCGGCGCCUAAGGAUGGGUCUGCGGCCUAUCAGGGUAGUAGUGGGUGUAAUGUACCUACUAGCCUACGACGGGUACGGGUCGUGAGAGCGAGAGCCCGGAGAUGGAUUCUGAGACACGAAUCCAGGCCCUACGGGGUGCAGCAGGCGCGAAAACUUUACAAUGCUGGAAACAGCGAUAGGGGGACUUUGAGUGCCAAGAUACAAUCUUGGCUGUCGUCGUGCCUAAAAAGCACGGCAUAGCAAGGGCCGGGCAAGACCGGUGCCAGCCGCCGCGGUAACACCGGCGGCUCGAGUGGUAACCGCUAUUAUUGGGUCUAAAGGGUCUGUAGCCGGCUGAAAAAGUCUCUUGGGAAAUCCGGCAGCUCAACUGUCGGGCUUUCAGGAGAUACUCUUCGGCUCGAGACCGGGAGAGGUGAGAGGUACUUCAUGGGUAGGGGUGAAAUCUUGUAAUCCUUGAAGGACCACCAGUGGCGGAGGCGUCUCACCAGAACGGAUCUGACGGCAAGGGACGAAGCUAGGGGCACGAACCGGAUUAGAUACCCGGGUAGUCCUAGCCGUAAACGAUACUCGCUAGGUGUCGGCCACGGUGCGACCGUGGUCGGUGCCGUAGGGAAGCCGUGAAGCGAGCCACCUGGGAAGUACGGCCGCAAGGCUGAAACUUAAAGGAAUUGGCGGGGGAGCAC